rnacentral:lncRNA from 1 species
CUCACACAAUUUCUGAAGGUCAGGAAUCUGGGAGCAGCUUAGCCGGGUGGUUCUGAAUCAGCAUUUCUCAGGACGCUGCAAUCAAGUCACUAACAGGCUGUGUCAGCUGAGGGCUUGACUGGGAUCUGUUUCCAUGAUGGCUCACUCACAUGGCUGUUGGCAGAGGCCUCAGUUCCUCUCUGAAAGUUGGCAAUACAUCUCACUUCUUUGGCAUGCCUGCUUCUGUGUAGGACUGCUUGAGUGUCCUCAGGACAUGGCAGCUAACUUCCCCUGGAGUAUGUAAGCAAGAGGGAAACUACAAUGUCUUUUAUGACCUAGUAUUGGAAGUUACACCUCUGAUGAUAGAGAAGGGCUGAGGACAUCGCCUCGGGGGAGAUAGCAGUUGGAGAAGAGAAGGCUGGGUGGAGCCAGCGAAGGCGUCUGAAGAGGAGGGGUCAGUGAAGUAGAAGGAAGUCCAAGAAAGUGUGGCAUCAUGAGGCCAACAGUCCGGCAAGAGGAUGGAAGAGUGGACAUUGAAUUUGGUACCACGGAGGCUACUGCUGACCCGAGGAGAGAAGAUGGGGACACAAGCCUGACUGGAGUGGGUUGAGGAGAAAAUGGGACGUGAGAAUCUAACGAUGCAGCUACAAGCCAAGAAACACCAAAGAUUGCUGGCAGCCACCAGAAACCAAGAGAGAGGCUGGGAACAGAUUCUCCCUUAGAGCUUCCAGAAAGAACCAGCUUUGCUGACCUCUGGAUUCUGGACUUCUAGCCUCUAGACAUGUGCAAGAAUAAUUUCUGCUGUCUAAGCCACCUAGUUUGUGGUAAUUUGUUAGAGUGGCCACAGGAAA